UACGUAGGGGGCAAGCGUUGUCCGGAAUCAUUGGGCGUAAAGCGCGUGUAGGCGGCUCGAUAAGUCUGCUGUGAAAGUCCAAGGCUCAACCUUGGGAUGCCGGUGGAUACUGUCGAGCUCGAGUCCGGAAGAGGAGUGUGGAAUUCCUGGUGUAGCGGUGAAAUGCGCAGAUAUCAGGAGGAACACCAAUGGCGAAGGCAGCACUCUGGGACGGUACUGACGCUGAGACGCGAAAGCGUGGGGAGCAAACAGG
rnacentral:rRNA from 1 species